rnacentral:lncRNA from 1 species
AGUCUGCAUUUAGAUUUCAGGAAGAAGCUAGAGGAACUGGUAACUAACAGAGAGGGAGAAACAGAGACAAGAGGCAGGAAACAUAUUUAUAAGGCUGUAGGUCAACAGAGAAAAUGUCUGGCUCAAUUAGAAAGAAGCUAGAGGAACUGGUAACUAACAGAGAGGGAGAAACAGAG